UACGAAGGGGGCUAGCGUUGUUCGGAAUUACUGGGCGUAAAGGGCGCGUAGGCGGUACUUCAAGUCAGGCGUGAAAGCCCCGGGCUCAACCUGGGAACCGCGCUUGAGACUGGAGAACUAGAGUUCGGGAGAGGAUGGUGGAAUUCCCAGUGUAGGAGGUGAAAUUCGUAGAUAUUGGGAAGAACACCGAUGGCGAAGGCAGCCAUCUGGACCGACACUGACGCUGAGGCGCGAAAGCGUGGGGAGCAAACGGGAUUGAGAAACCCU
rnacentral:rRNA from 1 species